GCGAUCCCAGGUCAGGCGGGGCUACCCGCUGAGUUUAAGCAUAUCAAUAAGCGGAGGAGAAGAAACUAACGAGGAUUCCCUUAGUAGCGGCGAGCGAACCGGGAGGAGCCCAGCAUGAAAAUCGAUCGCCGUCGGCGGCCGAAUUGUAGUCUGGAGAAGCGUCCUCAGUGACGGACCGGACCCAAGUUCACUGGAAGGUGGCGCCGGAGAGGGUGAGAGCCCCGUCGUGCCCGGACCC
rnacentral:rRNA from 2 species